rnacentral:rRNA from 1 species
UACGGAGGUUGCAAGCGUUAUCCGGAUUUAUUGGGUUUAAAGGGUGCGUAGGCGGAUCAGUAAGUCAGUGGUGAAAUCCUGUAGCUUAACUAUAGAAUUGCCAUUGAUACUGCAGAUCUUGAGUACAGUUGAGGUAGGCGGAAUGUGUAAUGUAGCGGUGAAAUGCUUAGAUAUUACACAGAACACCAAUUGCGUAGGCAGCUUACUAAGUUGUUACUGACGCUGAGGCACGAAAGCGUGGGGAG